GCCGGCAACCAUAGCACGUUGAAGACAACAGUUCCCGAUGGAUCACUGAAGUUAAGCAACGUUGCGCGUGGUUGGUAACCGGAUGAAUGAACAUCUGGGUAAUCGCGUGCUACUGACU
rfam:Asian citrus Psyllid, Diaphorina citri - Florida Strain, whole genome shotgun sequence.